UGGGGAAUAUUGCACAAUGGGCGAAAGCCUGAUGCAGCGACGCCGCGUGAGGGAUGACGGCCUUCGGGUUGUAAACCUCUUUCAGUAGGGACGAAGCGCAAGUGACGGUACCUGCAGAAGAAGCACCGGCUAACUACGUGCCAGCAGCCGCGGUAAUACGUAGGGUGCGAGCGUUGUCCGGAAUUACUGGGCGUAAAGAGCUCGUAGGCGGGUUGUCACGUCGUCUGUGAAAUCCUAGGGCUUAACCCUGGACGUGCAGGCGAUACGGGUUGACGUGAGUACUACAGGGGAGACUGGAAUUUCUGGUGUAGCGGUGGAAUGCACAGAUAUCAGGAAGAACACCGAUGGCGAAGGCAGGUCUCUGGGUAGUAACUGACGCUGAGGAGCGAAAGCAUGGGUAGCGAACAGG
rnacentral:rRNA from 1 species